rnacentral:rRNA from 1 species
CCUACGGGUGCUGCAGUGGGGAAUAUUGGACAAUGGGCGAAAGCCUGAUCCAGCCAUGCCGCGUGUGUGAAGAAGGCCUUCGGGUUGUAAAGCACUUUCAGUGGGGAAGAAAGCCUUGGGGCUAAUACCCUCGAGGAAGGACAUCACCCACAGAAGAAGCACCGGCUAACUCCGUGCCAGCAGCCGCGGUAAUACGGAGGGUGCGAGCGUUAAUCGGAAUUACUGGGCGUAAAGCGCGCGUAGGCGGUCUGAUAAGCCGGUUGUGAAAGCCCCGGGCUCAACCUGGGAACGGCAUCCGGAACUGUCAGGCUAGAGUGCAGGUGAGGAAGGUAGAAUUCCCGGUGUAGCGGUGAAAUGCGUAGAGAUCGGGAGGAAUACCAGUGGCGAAGGCGGCCUUCUGGACUGACACUGACGCUGAGGUGCGAAAGCGUGGGUAGCAAACAGGAUUAGAUACCCGAGUAGUC